GUGACCUCAAAUCAGGUAGGACUACCCGCUGAACUUAAGCAUAUCAAUAAGCGGAGGAAAAGAAACUAACAAGGAUUCCCCUAGUAACUGCGAGUGAAGCGGGAAAAGCUCAAAUUCAAAAUCUGGCGGUCUUUUGGCUGUCCGAGUUGUAAUCUAGAGAAGUGUUAUCCGCGCUGGACCGUGUACAAGUUUCCUGGAAUGGAGCAUCAUAGAGGGUGAGAAUCCCGUCUUUGACAUGGACUACCAGGCUUUGUGAUGCGCUCUCAA
rnacentral:rRNA from 1 species